rnacentral:rRNA from 1 species
AAGCCAUGCGAGUCGAAUGUAGCAAUACAUGGCGAACUGCUCAGUAACACGUGGACAACCUGCCCUUAGGUUGGGUAUAAAACCCGGGGAAACUGGGUAUAAUACCCGAUAGGUCUCGAUUGCUGGAAUGCAUCGAGAUUUAAAGCUCCGGCGCCUAAGGAUGGGUCUGCGGCCUAUCAGGUAGUAGUGGGUGUAGCGUACCUACUAGCCUACGACGGGUACGGGUUGUGAGAGCAAGAGCCCGGAGAUGGAUUCUGAGACACGAAUCCAGGCCCUACGGGGUGCAGCAGGCGCGAAAACUUUACAAUGCUGGCAACAGCGAUAAGGGAACCUCGAGUGCCAGGUUACAAAUCUGGCUGUCGAGAUGCCUAAAAAGCAUUUCAUAGCAAGGGCCGGGCAAGACCGGUGCCAGCCGCCGCGGUAACACCGGCGGCUCGAGUGGUAACCGUUAUUAUUGGGUCUAAAGGGUCUGUAGCCGGCCGGAUAAGUCUCUUGAGAAAUCUGGCAGCUUAACUGUCAGGCUUUCAGGAGAUACUGUCUGGCUCGAGGCCGGGAGAGGUGAGAGGUACUUCAGGGGUAGGGGUGAAAUCUUGUAAUCCUUGAAGGACCACCAGUGGCGAAGGCGUCUCACCAGAACGGACCUGACGGCAAGGGACGAAAGCUAGGGGCACGAACCGGAUUAGAUACCCGGGUAGUCCUAGCCGUAAACGAUACUCGCUAGGUGUCGGCCACGGUGCGACCGUUGUCGGUGCCGUAGGGAAGCCGUGAAGCGAGCCACCUGGGAAGUACGGCCGCAAGGCUGAAACUUAAAGGAAUUGGCGGGGGAGCACCACAACGGGUGGAGCUUGCGGUUUAAUUGGAUUCAACGCCGGG